rnacentral:rRNA from 1 species
GACGAACGCUGGCGGCGUGCUUAACACAUGCAAGUCGAACGGAGAACUUUCUUCGGAAUGUUCUUAGUGGCGAACGGGUGAGUAACGCGUAGGCAACCUGCCCUCUGGUUGGGGACAACAUUCCGAAAGGGAUGCUAAUACCGAAUGAGAUCCUCUUUCCGCAUGGAGAGAGGAUGAAAGAUGGCCUCUACUUGUAAGCUAUCGCCAGAAGAUGGGCCUGCGUCUGAUUAGCUAGUAGGUGAGGUAACGGCUCACCUAGGCGAUGAUCAGUAGCCGGUCUGAGAGGAUGAACGGCCACAUUGGGACUGAGACACGGCCCAAACUCCUACGGGAGGCAGCAGUGGGAAUCUUCCGCAAUGGACGAAAGUCUGACGGAGCAACGCCGCGUGAGUGAUGAAGGCCUUCGGGUUGUAAAACGUCUGUUGUC